UACGUAGGGCGCAAGCGUUAUCCGGAAUUAUUGGGCGUAAAGAGCUUGUAGGUGGUUUGUCGCGUCUGCUGUGAAAAUCCGAGGCUCAACCUCGGACUUGCAGUGGGUACGGGCAGACUAGAGUGUGGUAGGGGAGACUGGAAUUCCUGGUGUAGCGGUGGAAUGCGCAGAUAUCAGGAGGAACACCGAUGGCGAAGGCAGGUCUCUGGGCCACUACUGACGCUGAGAAGCGAAAGCAUGGGGAGCGAACAGG
rnacentral:rRNA from 1 species